rfam:Ciona savignyi cont_40185, whole genome shotgun sequence.
GGUAGCAUGGCCGAGCGGUCUAAGGCGCUGGUUUAAGGCACCCGUCAUUUCGAUGGCGUGGGUUCGAAUCCCACUGCUGCCA